rnacentral:rRNA from 1 species
UACGUAGGGAGCAAGCGUUGUCCGGAAUCAUUGGGCGUAAAGCGCGCGUAGGCGGCCUCGUAAGUCCGUUGUGAAAGUCAAAGGCUCAACCUUUGAAAGCCGAUGGAUACUGUGAGGCUAGAGUCCGGAAGAGGCGAGUGGAAUUCCUGGUGUAGCGGUGGAAUGCGCAGAUAUCAGGAGGAACACCAAUAGCGAAGGCAGCUCGCUGGGACGGUACUGACGCUAAGGCACGAAAGCGUGGGGAGCGAACAGG